rnacentral:rRNA from 1 species
AGUGAACGCUGGCGGUAGGCCUAACACAUGCAAGUCGAACGGCAGCACAGUAAGAGCUUGCUCUUACGGGUGGCGAGUGGCGGACGGGUGAGGAAUACAUCGGAAUCUACUUUUUCGUGGGGGAUAACGUAGGGAAACUUACGCUAAUACCGCAUACGACCUACGGGUGAAAGCAGGGGAUCUUUGGACCUUGCGCGAUUGAAUGAGCCGAUGUCGGAUUAGCUAGUUGGCGGGGUAAAGGCCCACCAAGGCGACGAUCCGUAGCUGGUCUGAGAGGAUGAUCAGCCACACGGGAGCUGAGACACGGUCCAGACUCCUACGGGAGGCAGCAGUGGGGAAUAUUGGACAAUGGGCGCAAGCCUGAUCCAGCCAUACCGCGUGGGUGAAGAAGGCCUUCGGGUUGUAAAGCCCUUUUGUUGGGAAAGAAAAGCAGCAGGUUAAUACCCCGCUGUUCUGACGGUACCCAAAGAAUAAGCACCGGCUAACUUCGUG